rnacentral:rRNA from 1 species
GAUCAUGGCUCAGGACGAACGCUGGCGGCAUGCUUAACACAUGCAAGUCGAACGAGAAUCAAUGGAUCAAGGAUUCGUCCAAGUGAAGUUGAGGACAGUGGCGGACGGGUGAGUAACGCGUGAGGAACCUGCCCUUCAGAGGGGGACAACAGUUGGAAACGACUGCUAAUACCGCAUAACGCGUAGAGAUCGCAUGGUCUUUACGCCAAAGAUUUAUCGCUGAAAGAUGGCCUCGCGUCUGAUUAGCUAGUUGGUGAGGUAACGGCCCACCAAGGCGACGAUCAGUAGCCGGACUGAGAGGUUGAACGGCCACAUUGGGACUGAGAUACGGCCCAGACUCCUACGGGAGGCAGCAGUGGGGAAUAUUGGGCAAUGGGCGCAAGCCUGACCCAGCAAUGCCGCGUGAAGGAAGAAGGCUUUCGGGUUGUAAACUUCUUUUGUCAGGGACGAGUAGAAGACGGUACCUGACGAAUAAGCCACGGCUAACUACGUG